rnacentral:rRNA from 1 species
AACGAACGCUGGCGGCGUGCUUAACACAUGCAAGUCGAACGGGUUCAGAAAUCAGCUAUCAGUCAUCAGUUAUAAGGGAUAGAUAUUCAUUUUAAUUGAUUGCUGAUCGCUGGUUUCUGUUCUACGUGGCAGACGGGUGAGUAAUAUAUGGGAACAUACCCUUCAGUUCGGAAUAACUACUGGAAACGGUGGCUAAUACCGGAUACGUCCGAGAGGAGAAAGAUUUAUUGCUGAAGGAGUGGCCCAUACCCCAUUAGAUAGUUGGUGAGGUAAAGGCUUACCAAGUCUAUGAUGGGUAGCUGGUUUGAGAGGAUGAUCAGCCACACUGGAACUGAGACACGGUCCAGACUCCUACGGGAGGCAGCAGUGGGGAAUAUUGGACAAUGGGGGCAACCCUGAUCCAGCGACGCCGCGUGGGUGAUGAAGGUCUUCGGAUUGUAAAGCCCUUUUCUCGGGGACGAUAAUGACGGUACUCGAGGAAUAAGUCCCGGCUAACUUCGU